rnacentral:lncRNA from 1 species
GUUUGGAUCAGUUUGUUGAAGAAACAAUAGAGAAAGAAGCAAACUAAUAUUUUAUUGACUGCCACAUUUCACUGUUGCUAGGUAGAGUCCCCAUCCAAGCUUUCUAAAGGGGAGCAUCGAGCUCCUGUGGAAACUCAGCACGUGCAGCUUGGCAUGCCAGUCAUCCGUGGCUGGAGAGCGAAGAUGCACUCUGUCACAUCUGAUGCCCGGAUCGCUGUCACCGCUGUCAUUUCCGAGCUGUACUAAACAUUAAAUAGCACAAUGGCUUCCCGCUGCCAGCACUUGGAAUGCAGCUUAGCUCCUGGUCCAGCAUCUCCAUCCAAUAUCCUGCAUGUUUCGUGGAUUGAGACUGACUCAUGGCAGGAAUCCAAAGAGAUCCUCAUAGGAAGCUGAAGUGAGACAGCUUUUAGUGAGAUGGGCAGAGUCCAUUAGCACACAAAUGCUAACAGUACGGCCAGCCGCGGACCCUGGUGAGCAGCCGCUGACCAGCCCAAUUUGGAAAUGAACGUUUAGAGUUGGUGUCUUCUCAUGAGCAAUGGCAUCAGCUGCAGCAUGCUGGCAAGCCCAGAGCUCUGAACAACUCCAUCAACUGCACAACCCCAAACUUUAAGGAUAAAAAGUGACGAAGAGUUGGGUUAGAUGUAUAAACACUGGCUAAUUUGAAUGUCAUCUCUCCUACACUAUGGAUGUUAAUUUUGGUGAUUCUUUUUCUGAUUGUAAAAUAAUAUAUAACUGUUGUAAACUGUAUGGUAAUAGUCCCUUGUGGAUCUAUCUCAUGUUCUUCUAGUAUGUUAUGGGGACAUUUUAAAAACUUAAGUCACUUUCUUACCCCACAAAAUAUAUUGUAACUAACAGUAUGAUAAACCUCAAAUAUCAACU